GCCCGAGGGAGCCGGUGAGCCUGCGGGCGUCGGCCGUCAGCUACCGAGGCCGCCUCUUCCAUUCGCUGGCGCCCUACGAGGCGGACGGCCGCGGGGGCUUGGCCCUGGCCGGGGCCCCGGCUGUGGGCGGCGACUUCACGGGCGUGGAGCCCAUGGGGCUCCUGUGGAGCCUGACGGCGGUCGGCUCCGAGGAUCCCUGCUUCAACCAGGUGCCGAGGGGCGUGAUGAAAAGCCCGCUCAAAGUGGAGGUGACCGUCCACCGCGCGCCGCGGCAGCCGGCGGUGUCGCUGGGCCCGGCGCUGGCCUCCGCUCAGGUGCAGCGCUGGUUCUCCAGGCCCGAGCUGCGCGGUGCUCGGCUGCAGGCCGGCCGCCUGCGGGGCGUCUUCUUGCUGCCCCCAGCUGCGUGAGGUCUUUUGGGCAGAGGGCUUCGCAUGGAUUUGGGAAAUCGAUUUAGGAAAGCUGGAUUGCUUUGCUGGCUAGUUUAUCUCCAGAAAACCAAAACGAGCGCCUUAAUUCCUUUAUUUUGUCCCCCAGACACCAGGUGGGACAGUCACUCUCCUAAAUGGUGACUGGGAUUUAAAUUUAAUCUGCUCGGGAGCCUCUCUUCUGCCAGCUGCCGCCCCCUUUAGGCUCCUAGUGCUGCCCGCGCUAUUCCUUGCGAGCAUCUUUGCUAUAGUAAGCACAACGCUGCGGUACAGUUUCUAGCCUUAAGUAUUUUGUCUACCUCUGUAGUAGGCGGAGCUUUGUGUUCAUUUGACUUUUCCAGUUAUUCCUUGUAAAAAUGACGAGAAUAGUGGAUCCAGAUCUUUCACCUGUAUCGGUUCAAGCUCCAACGUAACCGAAGUCCUAUUACAUACAUUGUUCCCCUUUUUAAUAUACUGGUUUUACGUUAGGAUACAGAUGACACCUUUUUUUUUUUUUUAAAGAUUUUAUUUAUUUGUUUGACAAACAGAGAUCACAAGUAGGCAGAGAGGCAGGCUUCCCGCGGAGCAGGAAGCCCGAUGUGGGGGCUCCAUCCCAGGACCCUGAGAUCAUGACCCCAGCUGAAGGCAGAGGCUUUAACCCACUGAGCCACACGGGCGCCCCCAGAUGACCUUUUGGUUGUUAUUUUCAAACAUACUCUGAUUGCUUGGAGACCUUCAUCAUGAUGAAGAAACUGUUCUGUUGCUCAUCUCAUAGAUCAAAGAACAAUUUAUUUUACAGAUGAGAAACGGAGGCUUAAAGUGUCUUAACCAAAUCCCACAGCUAGAUGGUGCAAAAUCAGAACGUAGUCAAAAUCUUUGAGAGCCACACUCACGACGCAAACAGGGGCUGACUGAAUGAGCGAAACAGGUUUUUGUUUUUAAAAAACUAGUCUGGCUUAUUUUCUACUCUCACUCUGGGGAUCCUUAGGAACAACUGAGAAUCUCUUAAAUGAGAGAUUUAAAACAUUUUCAUCGUUGAGGAAUAGAAUAACCAGAGAAGAGAGAAGCAAAAUGAACACCAUAUUAGUCUUCUCAGGCUGCCAUAGUAGAAUACCACAGACCGGGUGGCUUAAACAACAGAAAUUUAUUUCCUCACAGUACAGGAGGCUGAAAUUCCAAAAUCAAGAUGCCAACAGUGUUAGUUUUGGGUGAGGCUUCUCUUGGUGACUUGCAGGUGACCAUCUUCUUACUGUGUCCUUGGAUGGCCUUUCCUCUGUGACCACCACUCCCAGCAUGUUUAUUCCUCUUCUAAGGACACUAGUUAUAUUGGAUUAGGGCCCCACUCUUAUGGCCUCAUUUAACUGAAAUUACCUCCGUAACAGCCCUCUUUCCAAGUACAGUCACAGUGGACUUAGAGCUUCAAGAUAUGAAUUUGAGUGGGGAGGACACAAUUCAAUCUGCAGCAAACAUUAGACUCUCAUAAUAUUCUUUUAGAUAUAGGUUAUGUAUAAAUGUGUGCACGGUAUAUAAUUUUUUUAGAUUUAUUAGAGAGAGAGAGUGUGUGUGCUCAAGUGGGAGCAGGGGCAGAGGGAGAAGGAGAGGGAAAAAAUCCUAAGCAGGCUCCAUGCCCAGGAUGAGAUCCACCCCCCCAGAUCAUGACAUCAUGACUGGAGUCAGAAUCGAGAGGCAGAGGCUUAACGGACUGAGCCAUCCAGGCAUCCCCGCGGUAUAUCCUUUUCAAGAAGAUUAUACCAACUAUUUUGUUUGGUAACUUGCAUUUUAAAUUAGGACAUCACGACUGCAUGUGAAUAGAUGUAUUGCAACAACUUUUUUUAAAAAAGGAUUUUAUUCAUUUACUUGACAGAGAGAGAGAGAGAGCACGCAAGUGAGCAGAGAGGCAGGCAGAGGCAGAAGGAGAAGCAGGCUGCACCGUGAGCAAGGAGCCCAAUG